GGAGCCCUGCAGCCAGGGAGGAGGGGGAGGCAAAGCCUCCACUCUGGCGCCGGGCCCAGCAAGGCCAGGAGGAGCUACCCGAGAGAGUCUCCGUGGCUGCUGCGGGGUCAGGGUUGUGGCUGCCCGUCACGUCUCUGUUGUGCCUGGCUGUUGCUUGGGUAGAAUAUCUCUUUGCUUGCAGCUGCUGGUUGUGUUACGUGUCCUGCUGCAGGGCAGUUUGGGGCUGUGCUGGCAAUGCUCCUGGACAAGGAGCCCUGACUGCGGUGGGCCAGGUCAGGGAUUGGGCUGUGCCCCACGGUUCUGGGACCGGUCACUGUGGGGCAGAGCCACCCCAGGACAGCUUCUCCCCACACCAUCAGCAACCACCCAGCCUGCACCCAGCAAGUUCUGGUGUGGCUCUCCUCACAGCCACACUGGGGACAGCCCUGUCCUGCUCCCCCUGGAGUUCCUGGCUGUUCUGGGCCCCUCCUGAAACCCACGUGGCUUGGUUCAGCUUUAUUUGAUGUUUAGCACUGGACGUGGCUAUGACAUCUAGCAGGAUGUGAAGCGCAGCCUGCAGCUCCCCCAGUCCCACUCCCGGGCAGGGUGAGGGUGACAGGUGAAGAGGGGGCAAGUGUUGUACUAGGCCGUGUUCUGGAUGGGAACAGUCCAUCCUUGGCCCCAGUAUUGUGCAGUGUCAUAAGUGCCCCUUGCUGAGCAGGGGGGUUUCAGCAAUGUGCACAUUCUCACCUGCUCUUGGGGGAGGAACAUGUUUUUUCUGGCUGAGCCCUGAGCUCUCUGUUGUCAUUUCUCCCUCUCCUCCCUUGUGUUGCCCAUGUGUGGUGCUGGGCAGCCUCUGCCAAAAGCAAGGGACAGCAGGGAGGGGAAGGGCUGCCCUUGCCCAGGACAGGGGCAGCCAUCUCAUGUGAGUUAUGUGGGGUUGUGCUGUGCUUCCCAGGAGCCUGGCUCAACAGUUUUGCUCUUCUUUCACAGGUACAGAGGAGAUGCUGGCACUGCCUUGCCUGCCCCAGGAGAUCUGGGGCACCCCCAGUUCACUUCUGCCCUAGGGAAUAUAACUGGGGGAGGCCCUCUGUGCAGAGAGGCAUCUGGUGUGGAUUUAAGCCCCAGUGGAAGAGGCUGGGCUCCCUGCUUCUCAGAGCUCCUUGCUGGGGACAGCCCUGCAUGUGCCUGCCUCGCAGUACAGAUCCAGCUGAUGGACACCUGGGCUUGUUACAGCUCCAGGUAAUUUGAGCUCCAGCCAAUUUGAGCUCCAGCCAUGAGAUAUUCCUGCUAAUAGUCACUCCUUCCUGUUACAGUUGCAGGUAAGCUCGGCUCUCUCUAAUAGAGGUGAUGGAGAGCAGAUGCUCUCCUGUUCAGCCGUGCUGGGAGUGUAGCCCUGGCUGACGGACAUCACAGCUUGCCACAGCUCCAGCAACUUGAUGCUCUGGAUUAGAGAUGUUCCUACUUCUUUCAGCUCCUGCUGACAGACUCUCCAGCAUGCUGCUGCUCAGGGUAUUUGAAACUCCAGCUAAUUUCAGUUCUUGAUGCUUGUUCCAGUCUCAGGUAAUUUCAGUUCUAGCUGCUGGGUGUUCCAGCUUGUUAACAGUUUGAGGUAAUUUCAGGUCCAGCUUCUUGAAGCUGCAGCUCUGGCUAUGAGAUCCUCCUGCUGAUGGAAGUUCCAGUUUGUUUCAGCUUUGGCUGAUGAAUGCUCCAAGGGGGUAAGUGAUGUUUCUUGUCACCAGCUCUGGCUUAAUAAAUGCUCCUUCUGUUAAAGCUCCAGGUCAUUGCAGCAACCUGGGCUUUUGGCAAGGUUGCAAAUCAAUCAACCAAUCACUGUUAUAACUUGUAUAUAACUAUGAACUGUCAUAAUUACACAUUGUCUAAAUAUGUACUCUUGGGUUAAUAACUGUUCCGGUGGUUGUACACACCUUGAAUAAGGAGUUGGAUACACAGUGAGUGUGAAAAGCACCUUUGACUCCAGAGCGCAGACGUUUAAUUCGGUCUGAUGCAUGCCAGCAUCCCAAGCUUUGGGGACCAACAUGACUGGACACCCACCUCUGGCAGGGGUCCACAUACCCCCUCCCCCCCCAUCUCCCACCUGCCUGCAGUCCCCCCAGCGUCAUCCCAGACUCUGUUUGGGGGGCUGAAAACAGCCAACUGAGCCUGUUUCCAACUCUCAAAACCACAGCACUUAGGUUUGGUGGUUAUGUUUUUUUUUUCCUGGAGCCCAGAAACACGGGACUUAGCCUGCAUUUUCAAGAACCGAAAAUGCAUGACUUCUGUCUUUUCCUAAGCCUCAGAAAAGCGGCAGCCACCCUCUGCUUUUGAGCCCCCAAAAAUAAAGGACUUAGAUAUUUGGUUUUUUUCUGAGCUGUGAAAAUGUGGGACUUAACCCACAUUUUCAACUGCUGAAAAUACAGUACUUGAUCUUUUUUUCUGAGCUUCCGAAACAGAGAGCUCUGCCUCUAGUUCUGAGGCCCAAACCCAGUUGCUAGAGCUUGUGUUCAAGGACCCAAAAUGCAGCACUUCUUAAUCUCUGUUUUCAAAAGAUGAAAACUCAAGACUUGAUUUCUGGUUUUAGUGCCUGAAAUACUAAAGGACUUGAUAUCUGUUUCCAGCUGCUGAAAAUCCAUGACUUGACCCCUUCUGGAGCUCCAAAGCCAACCCACUCACUAUGUUUCCAAGCCCCCAAAACAGAACACUCACUCUUCAUUUUAGGGGGGUUGAAACCCAGCACUGAAAUUCUGUUUCCUGACUCCAUGUGUGAUGUGAUGUGAUUGUGGGGGGCAGGGGAGGAGUGGAGCCCACAGCAAUUUGGGGGAGUGCUUGGGAACUGGGGUGGAGGCACCCUCCCUGCUGGGGGGGUGUGUCUAGUCCUGUGUCUGUGGGGCAGCACCAACAGAUGUAGAGAAUCACUUUAUUCUGCUUUAUUUCACUAGCACCAGCGGCCCCACACCCCAGACAUCACCUGCCAGAGCACAGCAGCUGCAGCCCCCCACAGGGAGCCUUGCCCGGGCACCCUGGUAGCACAGCCUGGCCAGGCAAGGAAGGCUGCAACCCCCUUCCAGGGAAGCCCUCCCCAAACCUCCUCCAGGAGGAAACACACCCCAGUGGUGAGCAGCCUGGGGUGGGAUGGGGCUGCCCUUGCUCCCCCACCCAGCCCUGGAUCUCCCUGGAUGCCCUGAGAGCCCCGUAGGCUAUCCACAAGGCUGUGUGUCUCCUGGCCAUGUAGGAGGGGGUCUCCGUGCCCUGUGGGUGGCUGUGCCCCCAGGAAAGGGCUGGUGGGACCUUUCCCUUUGGGCGGGGGGCUGUGUCUCCUGAGCUGCCGAAUGGGCAUCUGCCCUAGUGCAGGGGGGUGCUGGGGCCCUGGGCUGCCUGCUUCCCUCAGGAGGGUCCAGGCUCCUGUGCCUUCAACAGCCAUAGCCUACCAAUGCAUGGCAUCCACUGUCUCCGUGGGAACUCUGGUGGGGAAAAAGCAAACCUCAAGAAGUCAUUAAGUAAUUAUCUAGAGGAAGGUGUGUCUUGGGUAGAGCUGAGCAAGCUCAGCUGCUUGGGAGUGUCCACUCAUUCGUGCUUAAUCUCACCUGGGGAGCAGCUGGGUCCUGCUGAAAUGACACAUCCUAGCCCUCAAGCCUGCAGAGCUACAAGCAAACUGCCUUUCCCACCCAGUCUCGAGCCCCAUGCACACUGGCUGCACCAGCGAAACCAGCGCCAGAGGCUCUAGGGCUGCUGAGGUACAAGUCCCUUCCUGACACUGUUGUGAGACCGGUGAGAGGCAUUGUCAUCCACGCUCCCCCCGGGGAAUGGAGCAUCAGCAGGGCACAAACCUUGGAGAAAGUGCAGGAGGAGGUGUCCCCCUGAGCUAGACAUAGGCUGCCGGGGCAGGAACCCACCACCGCGGCAGGUGUCCUGCCCCUGGCCCACGCCUGGGCAAGACUGGCACUCGCACCUUGUGAGGCCAAGAAUUACCAGCGCAAAUUCUCUCCAUCUCAGCCUCGGGGGUGAGGGAGCUUGAUGACAGCGCAUCUGGGGACACAGGGAUGGUCCUCAGCCCCCUAAGUCCUGAAAACUGGGAUCCCUUAGAGACCUGCACUGCAGAAACAGCAACAGAAACCAAAGCAAUCAUCAAACUAACACUAACAAAACAAGAAAUACAACCAACCAGACAAACCCAAACCAAAAUAAACAAAGGCUAGAGGAAAAAACAAAUCUCCCCAGGCAGGCACAGACCAAAUAAACAAGGCAGUUUUUGGCCCCAUGGAAAUGCUCCUUUCCCAGCUGUACCAGUUAGCCCGGACUGCCAGGCAGCACACAGCUGCCUCCAGUUUGAGGGCAGAAUGGCAGGGCCACCUGCAGCAGGCACCAGGAGAGAGGGGAAGGCAGAGCACCUGGCAGUGAGGAGACGUGGGUGGUGAGGCCCCAGCAGGCAACCAUCAUGAACAGGCCAACAUCUUCCUCCCAGAGGGUCAAAGUUUAUCCAUGAAGAAAAAUGGAAGUAAAAACAACUGGAGCAAUCUGCCCAACCAGGCGACGAAGAGGCUGAAGUGCUGCCUCAGCACCACGAGCAAACAUGACCUUGUCCUGGGCAGUGAAGCCCAGCCCAGGUGCCCGUCCUGUUUGCUCCACCUGCAGGGGCACCCAUCACUCGUGUGUGCCUCAAGGAGCAGCCUCCCCUGGGGCUGAGCUGGGAGGAAGGCGUCUGCCUUCCCUGGGUGGCACUGCUAGGCUGCAGGAGGAUGGGAACCACUCCAAGAGUGACAGCCUCCAUGCUCUGCCACAAAGACACCACCUCUGAGGUGGCAUGGGUGAUCUGCAGAGACACUCAAUAGACACUGCCAGUGAAACCAAGGCCUUUUCCCACCAGCCUGCACCUCCCCUUCUGCAAUGGCCCUGCAGACUGGGAGCUGCAAACUGCCUCGGCUUCCCCACUGCCAGCACUGCGCAGCACCCCGGGGGCUUUGUGGGCAUUCACACCGUGCCCCAGGCUCCCUUGGGAUGAAGGGUAAGUCAGAAAGGCGAACGAGCUGCACAAAGGUAUAUGCCAGAAACACACCGAGCAGCUCCAGCGUGGCCUCAGGUCAGCAGAGCUGGUCCCAGGUCUGUCCUUGCCCGAGUUCUUUAAGUGUUCCAUUAAAAUCUUUAGGAUGAAGCGUUUCCUCCCCAGGGAUCCUCCACGGCUCCAUCACAUCACUCCAAGGGAGCAGAAGUUACCCGUCAGCCUGUGGGCUCUAGUACCUGCAUUGCUGUCGACACAGCCAAGUGCCGAAGGGGCUGUCGGGGACCAGGCUCUGGCACUGGAUCUGCCUGCGCUCAGGCUUUCCCUCCCCAGAGGGGCAGGACCAGCAUCUUUGCCAGCUCCUCCUCAGCCACCAGACCGCCAGUCCCCACCUGCCUGCAGGGGCUGGGGCAGGACUCGUACCUGUCCCGGGGCAGCUGCGUCUGCAGCAGGCUGUUGACAAUGGCCACAGGGUGAGUGAGGAUGCGCACAGACACCGUCUUGAUGAGAAACUGUUAGAGAGCAUUGUGUGGCGUCAUCAGCACCUGGAUGUACAGAAUACUGAGGAUUUCUGGCACCUGGUUGAACAAGACAAGAAGAGCUCUUCUGUUCAUCCUUACCCCAUCCUCCUACAGUGUACAGACAUGACCAUGCGGAUGAUGAGCAAUGUCAGUUCCCCUGACAAUUUCUCAAGAUGCAGCCCUAAAUGGCACCCCAGCAGCUUGCAGUGAAUCCUUUGUGCACACAGAGAACACACACCGACUCAGCUGCAUUGGUCUGAUCCCCUGCACAAGAUACUUGCCAGCCCUUCUGUACAAACCCAGCUCUCUGAGGACUUUUUUCUUCCCUCCAGCCUCCUCCUUUCCCCCAUGCCCACCCCUUUCCCCACAGGAAAUGACCUUCCCCCGGGUCUUUGAAGCUCGAAACUGCAGCUGGGAUCAGGACAGCCAAACAAUGGGAUCACCGUCCCAUGGAAGUAUUCGGCUCCUUCUGAUGGGGCUGGCCCCCAGACAAGUGACAUGGGCACCAGUCGGUCUCUCUCUUCGCUGUGGGUGAUGGCCGUGCAGCCCAGGGGACACAGGAUCGCUGGGAACAGCCAGGCUGAGGGAAGACAAGAAGAACCAAAAGCUGGUAUACAGUAUCAUAACAUGCACCAAACACAGGGAAGAUCGUGGAGCUGGGGACUGACAAAGCAACAGCAAAUAAAAAAUGUGUUAGAAAAAUGUGUAAAAAACCCCUCAGCGGUGCCAGGGGUGAGGAGGAAGAAACCCCCAGUGUCAACAUCAUAUUCUUCCUUGGGAAGGACUCGGGGGUGCCAACAACUCGCUGCAGCCCCCCCACCUUCCUCUUGCAGACAGUGGUGCUGUCGCCCUUAGGGCCCAGGGCAAGGAGGGCUGAGCACCCAGCCAGGAAAUGGGGAGCAACUGGGAAGUCUGGGUGUCUCAGCUGUAACUGUCUGAGUCAUGGGAACAAGCUGGGUUUAGCCUGGGAGCGUUAGCCCCACCAGACCGAGAAGAAGUCCAGAAGGUGGCUGCCUGCAUUCGGGUCAGACAAAGCCCUCGGCUGGCAACACCACAUGUGGCUCUGUAGCCCACAGCAACUGCCCGUGGUGUGCUGCAAUAGCUGAUGUGGGAAGCUCAGAGCCAAGGGGGAAAAAGUGUCUAUUUGACCUCUGACGGUAACUGCCCCCCUUGCAUUUCUCCUGAAGGUCACCAGCCACUUGCUGGCUGCCUGAACACAGGUGGCUCUGACGGGCAGCAUCCCAUCCAGCACAGCAGAAGUGAAGUCUGCGUGGCCUGUGCUAGGGGGAUGUAUUUUACGUCUCCACAGUCCAGAGAGAGAUCAGAAACAGGAGAGAUCGUAUCGCAAUUCUGGCUCUUCAAAAAAGGGAGGAAACUCAGGGGCGUGAUUAGUGGGGCAGCCAGUUAGUCCUUGAGGGCACAACUGCUUUAACGUCCAGCUGUGCUUGCGGGGCUUUUGGUAUUCUGUGUAGCUAAGAGAUCUGGAUGUGCAUCCCUGGCUCAGCUCCAGACCCCAGCUGGGAGCAGGGCCACAGUAGCAAGGACCUGCCACAUCCGUGCCACGGGCCCUGUUAGGGUAAUGAGGGCUGUGCCUUGGCACGGGCUGACACAUCAGCCUCCUCGCCCCUCACCACUGGGCAAUACAAAGUUGCAACCUACCCUCUCGCUGGCAGCUGCCGCUGUGGAGAAGCUUGGGCUGAUGGAUGUGCUGCUUAGGGAUACUAGGAGCUCAUCAACAAGAAGCUGCUGUUGAUGUGAAAAACUUGGAUAUGAAAUUGGACACAAUGACCUGAAACCAGGGUGCUUUUAUUGUCUUGCCAAGGUGGUGUGUCGCACCCAGUCAUGGGAAAUCUCUGUUCCUCUGACCAUCCUCUGCAACAGGAGGUCCCUAACAUCUCUGACCCUGCUACUGCCAAGCUUGAAGCUUUUCCUGCCACCCAUUACCGCAGGCCACCACCUCACUGAUCUGCAAUGCUGCGUGACAGCCCAAAGCAGAGGAACCCCUCUAAAUCAUUCAUUCAAUUCUCCCCCUCUCUUGGGGGUCUCAGUAGAUGAGCUCCCGCUGUGGGAAAUUCACUAAACAAGGGCCUGUAGGAAACCACUGGGAAAAGAAGGAAACAAUGCUGGCAGAAAGCGAGGGCAACCUCAGAGGCUGAGGAAAGCUCCCUGAGCACCAGAAAGGCUGUGCGCCGUGUCUGACACCCGUUUCUCGCAGCCCCGUGGUGCGGCACAGCAGGGACAGGCACCGGCAGCGUUUCAGUGCAGAGGCAAAUGCUGGGGACCAGGGACAUCUGGGGUACAUGGCAGCUCUGGGGAUCUGUGACACUGACUCAUGGCCAUUCUGGGACUGCCCGCUGUCCAAAGGAGCUUUUCUGCAAGCCACAUAACAAACAGGUCUCAGGUACAGUAAGAAGCCAGAACUGCUGGAGGAUGUAGGAUGAUUCAGGUUGGAAGAGGCAGUGGGAGGUUGCUAGUCCAGCCUCCUGCUCAGACCAGUCAGCCAUGGGUUCAGACCAGGUGGCUCAGGAACUUAUCCAGUCGGGUUUAAAACACCUUGAAGGAUGAGGAUGCCGCAGCCUCCCCAGGCAACCCAUCCCGGUGACUGACUGUCCGCCUGAUAAAACACUUUCCCUUACAUGCAGUCGGAUGCAGGAGCUUGUCUGGUGGGAGCAGGAACUUGUUGUUGUGCAAUUCAUGAGCAGCCCAGGGGCACCCUGCGGUGGGGGUCAGUACGGAUGCCUGCUGCAGAGCUCAGUUAUCAGUCUCCUGGCUUUUAUGAGCUGCCCCUUUACCCCCUCACUGCCAACUACCUCUGUAAAUAGUGCAGCAGAUCAGCUGUGAGCGUCCCUGGGGUACCCAUGGCCACGCUGGCCAGCUGGCAAGCAGCUGAAGAAAGGGAGGAUCAAGCACCACAAGCUGGGCUGCCUUUCCUGUGCAGCUUUUUCCCCACAGCCUCGCCGAGUGUCUCUGGCUCCACCAUGAGGUUGGGAACAUGCUGGGACCCGUGUGUGAGCAUGGAAACAUCAUCUGCUGCGCAGCAAAAGCUGUAAGCCAGCACUCGCCGAGACAGCCAAACCUGCUUGCUCUUUUCUCCCUGCCUCCUCGCUUGUUCCUACCCAGCACAAGCAACAGAAGCAUUGGUGUGUCCCCGCAGCGAACUGCAUCAGGGAGCUGACUUGUCUUACGAAGGACUCAGCUCGUCCCCCGUGCUGAUCUCGCUCUGUGCAGACUCCGUUUCCCCAGGGGCGUCACCGCAUGGCUGCGCUGAUGCUGGUGCUGGGGCACGACAAGGAGCAACAGGCUGGGGAGGGGUGUCUGGCUAGCUGAAGGAACUCCAACGCUGCACAUUUAGUAUUAAUGGACCCAGGCUAACUGGGUUUGUGCUAGAUGUGCUUUGAUCUCCUUGAGACUUCUUGCCAUUCAGGUAUUUAUGAAAACUUGCUAUCUCAGCUUCACAGCCCUGGGAAAUAUUUGGAGCCAAAGCAAGAAUGGUCUCAGGUCCUUCCACAUCACACAUUUCAUUGCCCUGCAGAGCAGAGGGGACAAAAAGCAACCGCAAUGCUGAUCUCAUUUAGCACACAGACCAAGGUCUCGCUGGGGCCAAAGUUACCCUUGCCUGAAGGCCAAGUUCAAGUUCUUGCCAUUUGCUCUGCUUUCUACCUGCCCCUGUUGCACUUCUGUGGGACCAGCAAAGGGUGUUUGAAUCAAGUGGUUGUGUAUCCAAGUGAGAAACUGGUGGGAGCUCUGCCAUGGCUGUACAGUGCCCGCAGGACAGCGGUGGGGGAAAAACACCUGAGAAUGUGCUUUCCAGGAGUAUCUUUCAUUGCUUCUUUCAGUUCACCCAGAUCAAAUCCAUGCAGAGGAGUUGGAGUGGACGGGAGCACAGAAAUGGGAGGAAGCUGGAUUGUUAAACUGAGCAACCAAGCAUUCCUGACAGACUGAGCUCAUGCCCUGCCUGGGGUUUGCUUCCCCACGCCUGGGCAUCUCUCUCUGGUUUUCUGUGUCAACGGUUUGAAUGCUAGCAAGAGAAAGUGAGAUUUGAUUAUGCGUAUGGAUCACUCUCUCUUUUCCCCCCAGGUAUGGCUUUCACUAAGUGCCUGCUUUUCCUUCUGAUUGUUAGUUAACAUUGCUUUACAGCAAAGCUCCGGUGCAAAGUACUGCAGUCCUUUCUGAGGGUACAGGACAGAGAGGUGGGUGAGAGGAGGAGGAAGGAAGCCCCUUCUUCCCUGCAGGCCAGUGAGUAAUUGCGAGUGAAUGAGAAGUAGCUGUUAGCAACUCUGCCUCCUACUUGUCACAAAUUCAUCUGAGAGACCUGUCAGCAUGCUGAAGAGCUGAAAAGUGCGUCGGCUUCUCAAGGCUUUGACAAUAUGGUGCCUGUAACUGAGAGCUACUUGACUGACAUGUUCCAGGUCUUAAUUUUAGUACAUGUAGUACAGCAGGACCAAGCUGCUGGCUGGCAGGUGACCCAGUCAUGCGGAGCACUGCAUACGCUGCAGCUGGGGAGUCCCUCUUCUAAGCAUCCCCCCCUCCCCAGCCAAACUGAUUCACUGCAAUGCUGACGAGAAGCGGGUUGCAGAUGAGAGUACACUCACCACAGUUCUGUGCUUUAGGAGCAAACAUCACCUGAAAUGAAGCACCUGGUCUGAUUGUAAACUGUUUGUGAGAUUUUUAUUGAGGUUAUUAUUUCUGCAGACCAUCUUAACAUGCAGACAUGUUAAAUUUAGAGCUGAGCUGACAAAGGCGGUAGCACUGUCAUUGCUGUCUUAGCAUUUGAAGAUUUCAAAACUCUUAGCAUUAAGUCCUUAGAAUUUCUAACAUGACUUGUGAAGGUGGACCACACCACAUCAAUUUCAGGAAGCCUUUAACCAGACUGAAGACUGAAGCAAUUGCUCUAGAGCACGGCUUGCCCUAGCUGAGCACUCCUCAACUCAGAAUCAGUAUCCCCCCACAGAGCUGAAUAUCUCUUCACCUUUGCUGAGACAAGACAGGAUGUCUGAUCUUAAAUCCUGCAGCAAAUGUUGUUUUCCCUGGUCUCUCAAAAACAGCCGGGAUCAUGGCACAGGUCUAACACGAUAGGUCAACAUAAAUAGAGCAUACAGACCAGAGGCUAGCCAAACCUCUGGCUGGAUGACUGCAUUUGUGCUGGGCACCACUGCGGCUCAUGGGAUGUACUGCUCAAAAAGUGCUCUCUGUCCAAAAGAUGCCUGUAAUUACAAAACCUUCAUUGGAUAAAAUUCUUCCCAUCAGAAGGACUCAAGUGCUAUGGCUGGCUGUCAGGGUUGCAGCUAGCUCGCUACCUGUGCUCUCUCAAGCGGUGCUAACCUGAAGCAUUCAAGAACCAGCAAGAUCAGGGAGCUCUCGCAGCCGGCCACUCCAAAACAAUUUUUGAGGGGUGUCCCAUGGCAAUUCCUUGCUGUGUCCUACACCUCACUCCUUUUUGUGUUCACAUUAGGCAUUCAGUGUGCAAGAUGAUGCAGGUUUCUAGGCUUGGCUUGCUGACUGGUGUAAUCAGUGACAGAGCGACUCAGUUCUGGAGGAAGAAGUAUGCACAGAUGCUGCAGACCCACUUCAGAGACUGAUGAAGUACCCUUUGGGAUCUUCCAAGUCCCCUUUCCCCAUCAAGAGUUUGGCCCCAUUGCAUUUAAUCUAUCUGCUGUACUGUCACACCAGGAUUUAUUUGGAAAUUCUACAUGUAUAUGUAUCUAUACCUAUACACAGCUCUUAUGUUCCCUACAUAUAUCCUCCAGUGAAACUCUCCCAUCAUAAUCCCAGAUUUUCUUAAGGAAGCUGGCUCUGCUAAAACAGUGAAGCUCAAUUUGGGUGACCUAGGGCAAAGUCUUCUGCACAUACUUGUCUUCAUUUCGGUAGUUUAGAUGAGAAUCUUUUCAAGGCAAUCUAAAAUAUUCCCAGACUGGAAUUCCUUAGAAAAGAAAUUGCAGCCUGGGUAUCUUAAUGAACUUAGGCAACAAAGCCUUCAUUUAAACCUAAAAGCAUCAGCUACAAUUAAAGCACCGCUUCAUUUUGAUAGGAUCUGUUUAAACCACUGCCAGUCAUAUCAUAACAGGGGCCACCGACCUUCCAUUUCUAACAAGCAACUAACUCUAAAACACUCAACUAAAACUCAACUAACAUUAAAAAAAUGUAGUCCUUUAGCAAGUUAGGAAGAAAAAAAGAAAAAAAGAAAACUUCCAAUAGGUGAUUCUGACUGGUUUUAUUUCUUUAGAGCCCCAUUUGUCAUUGCUGAGUUCUGAAUUCCAUUGAAAUAAUUGCAUUCACCAGGUACCCAACCCCCAUGUCCCAAACCCAAAGAACUUAGCAACUGAUUUUUAAAGCAGAAGCAAGUAUCUAUACCUCCACACAUCAGCAUUUAGGUCAAACCUCCAAGAAGUGGAUGCUAACAAUAGCAGAGACUGAUUUUUGAAAAAACAGCUGGUUUUCCACUCCCAGACAGAAAUUCCCCACAAGCAUUACAGCCUCAUGGCUCAGCUUGUUUUUUGUUGGGCAAUCUCAGGCUUCCAAGGUCUGCAUGGCCCCGCUGCUGACAGUCUGUAGAGGAGGAAGGUGAAAGUAAACUCUAAAGGAACACAACAUUAUUAUUACAUUUUCCCUGCUUAGUGCCAUUUACUUCGCAAAGCUCUUAAAUUUUAAGUGUACAAUUGCAACACUGCUUUCUCAUUAAGCAUCAGAGUAAACAGAUGCUUAUUUUAACACAUUUCUUCAGGCAGUUGCUGAUGGUUAUCUUGCCAUGUGCUGCGGUCUGGGUAAACUGUGCUUAAAAAUUAGCAGAGGCUGACUCUGUUGAAUACAGAGACUGUGGCUGCCUGCAAGGUACAAGCAUGUGUGAAAGUACUAACAGCCCUUCAGCAGCUGUAAGCAUUAAGAAAACAUGAUAGAAUUGUGGAGCAGUGGAAACACCAAAACUCCCUCCAGUCCUGAUUCUCUAGCUGUGUUUUGUCAGCUAGGCACCUAAACCCUGGACUCUUUUGCAAGAAAUCCACUAAAAUUUGAGUACGACAUUCUGCAUUUGAUCCCACCUUCACGCUGGUAAGUGCCAGCCACAGGUAUCACCAAUCCUGGAGGAAGCAGUUAGGAGAGGUGAGGACAAGUUUCAGGAUUAGUCCUGCUAUCUAUUAUCACAGCAAAAAGAGAUCACUAUCCUUACAAAGAUAUUUUUGGCUGCAGUUUUGAAAGUGAGGUAGGAGCGAGAACAAACGGGCAAGCACAUGGCAAUGUCUUACUCUG